AAAAUAAAGUAACCAAACCCCCUCCCCCUCCCAAAACGAGGAUCACCACCCAUUUAACAUAGUCACCACAAUUUUGAAGCCCUAACGCAGUAACGCUCCCAAAACUUCUCCCAUACUCCAAACGGUUGGUGUCCUCUCAUUCCCUGACACUGCCAAACAGCACUUUUGUGGAGGCGCAUCCCUUUCUCUCCCUCCCUUCUUCAUCACGCUUCUCUCUUUUUUGCGCAGCCCCUCCCUCCAUUCCUCGUCGUCCUCCAUGCAGAGCAGUCGCCGUCUACUCCACGCCUUUUCCUCCACGCACCAGUAGGCGCCGUUAUCUUCCACGUUGCCGUCCUCAAGAAUGGAGCUUAUGAGUUAGUUAGAUAUCACUUCAAGUGAGAAUAUUGGCGACAUAGGAGGAGCAAUAGAAGAUGGUAUAUUUGCCUUUUAAUUUUAGAUUUGUUUGCUUGAAAAUGUUUUGCUGUUUUGCUAGAGAGAACACCAAAACGUGGUUGUCUUAGCUUGAAAAAUUAAGGAAAAUUAGUUUUUAUUUUU